rnacentral:rRNA from 1 species
AUGUACACCUACGCGGCCACGGAGCCCGGCGGCCGGAAGGUCAAGUGGACGGCGGAGGAGAAGCCGCGCGGCGGGGGCCGGGCGCUCAAGUGGGAGGCGGAGCUCGCCUCCCCGAACGCCGGCCAGAGAUGCGAAGUAUUUGUUCAGAAAAUAAGAUGGUGCAUAUAUAAAGACAUUGUGCGUGCGAUUGACCGUCUAUGUGUCUGCAACGUUGCCGCGUAUAGAUGCGUUGUUGACGUGCCUUGUAUCUCCAGGAUGUGUGGCAACGGCCUAGUGUAUACCAAUGCACUUGAUUCAGGCGUACGGAGGGAGCCGUGUUGUGUGUUCCAAUCGGAAAGCUAUCAGCCGCCAGCACGGAUUGUAUUCUGUUUAGAGGUCGAGUUCGCAUGCACACUGCAUACUGUCGGGCCUGGAAAUCUACUCAAUAGACUACAAGGCGAAUUGCUACAUAAACAGCAGAGAGAGAGCAUGGGGACGGCCUGCCCCACAUCCCAUGAGGUACCCACUGGCCUGCCCCAGCUCCCCCAAGUCUCUUCCUUGUCCAAACCGGUGUCGGUGCCCUCUGGUUCGUCGGGGUGGAUGCGCAUUGAUCGGCGCCGAUGCAUGGCGGGUCGGGGCCCGGCUCCUUCCCCGGAUCGUGGUCUCCUCGGUCCUCCUCCUUCCUCUGUGGUGUUGGAUCCGGACGAUGUGGCGUCACCGGUCGCUGGUCCUGAUUGUCCUCCUCUCAGGCCGGGGCCGGCGCCGGUGGCGGCGGUCGCGUCGGCGUGUGCGGGGGCGGAUGGUGGCCAAACCCUAGAUCCGGGUUGCCCUGUGGUCAAGGUGGGCCUUGGUGGGCACUUGGGCCUGGUGGCGCCUGGAUUGACUCGGGCUGGGCCGCCCGGGCCCCCGGCUCCAUCCUCUCUCGAUUCUUUCCCUCCCCUCCCGUCUGUGGGCACGGGGCAGUUGGUAGUGGCCACUGCAUCGCGUCCGUCCCCUCCCUUGGCCCGCUGUCCCAUUCCGGCCCAUUCGGCCCACUCUGGCCUGGCCUGUUGUAGCUAUAUAUGGGUGCGCCGCGGUGCCUCUCCCCCCUUCCUAGGGUUUCCGGCUUCCGCCGCUGAUAUCCGCAGGGCGCAUCGUCCUAUCCGCCAUUUCUCCAGAUCCACUUCUUCCCCACCUCCUCUCCUCCUCUCCUUCGCUGAAGUGAUCGCCAUGGACAAGUCUAGGGGCUCCUCCUCUGAGGCCCUUUCGGGUAGCAAGCGGGCCCGUGAAGUUUCGCCGGGCAAUGGUGUCGAUCUGGCCUAUGAGGCGGAGCUGUGGUCGAAGCUCGAAUAUGAGCAGGCGGCCCGCGAGCUGUCGCGCGAGCGGGAGGAUUGGGAGGCGGGGCCGGAGCGCUCCGUGGCCAGAUCUGGGAUGGUGCUCCCUGGAUCUGGUGGUGUGUCGGGGUCGGGGCCGGAUCUGUGGGAGCCCGCUGCUGCUUCGUUGGUGGUGGCUCAUCCUCGUCGGCGCUGCGCCCCGCUCCGGCCAGGGGUCCGGUCCCUCCGCCUCGGCCACCUCCUCGCUCGUUUGCAGCUGGCGCUGCCUCUCGCUCGGGGCCGCGCUUCGGGCCUGGCUCUUCCUCUUCGUUGGUCGGGGACCAGCGUGCUCCUCCCUCUGCUCCUGGUGCCUCUUCUGCGGUCCGUGGUGAUGGCAUCCUGCCGCCGCCACCUCCCCCUCUCCGCCAGCAUCCUGUUGCCUCGGGCCCUUCUCCGACCCUGA